rnacentral:rRNA from 1 species
GACGAACGCUGGCGGCGUGCUUAACACAUGCAAGUCGAACGGAAAGGCCCUGCUUUUGUGGGGUGCUCGAGUGGCGAACGGGUGCGUAACACGUGAGUAACCUGCCCUUGACUUUGGGAUAACUUCAGGAAACUGGGGCUACUACCGGAUAGGAUCUCCUGCUGCAUGGAGGGGGUUGGAAAGUUUCGGCGGUUGGGGAUGGACUCGCGGCUUAUCAGCUUGUUGGUGGGGUAGUGGCUUACCAAGGCUUUGACGGGUAGCCGGCCUGAGAGGGUGACCGGCCACAUUGGUACUGCGAGACGGCGCAGACUCCUACGGGAGGCAGCAGUGGGGAAUAUGGCACAAUGGGCGGAAGCCUGAUGCAGCAACGCCGCGUGCGGGAUGCCGGCCUUCGGGUUGUAAACCGCUUUCGCCUGUGACGAAGCGUGAGUGACGGUAAUGGGUAAAGAAGCACCGGCUAACUACGUG